CCCCACGGGUGUGUUAUAGCCCUCGGUCGUAUGCGAAGGUGGGGAUCGAGGACCGCAGCGUGCCCCUUUGCGGGGGCCGGGGUUCGCCCACGUAACGCGCUUAGGAUGCUGGCGUAAUGGCUUUAAGCGACCCGUCUUGAAACACGGACCAAGGAGUCUAACAUGCCUGCGAGUGUUUGGGUGGAAAACCCGGACGCGCAAUGAAAGUGAAACGGUCGGGACCUCUGUCGUGGAGGGCACCGACGCCCGGACCAGACCUCUUGUGACGGUUCCGAGGUAGAGCACGUAUGUUGGGACCCGAAAGAUGGUGAACUAUGCCUGAGUAGGGUGAAGCCAGAGGAAACUCUGGUGGAGGCUCGUAGCGAUUCUGACGUGCAAAUCGAUCGUCGAACUUGGGUAUAGGGCGAAAGACUAA
rnacentral:rRNA from 1 species